rnacentral:misc_RNA from 1 species
CCGUGGGGCUCACUCUCACGGUGGAAAUGAUAACAACAAUGAUGAUGAGAUAGAGAAGACACUUGCAAUAUUAGUUGGACUUAUUGCUGGGGUUGCAUUACUCAUUGUAUUCCUUUCUUUCUUGAGAAAAGUGUGUGAAAAAGGAAAAGGUGGUAAAUAGCAGAAAAACUUGUGGACAUAUCAGGAAUUGCACUUCUCUCUGGUAACUUUUUCUUUUUUUUCUUUUUUCUUUUUUUGCUUCACUUUUGUAUUGUGAUCCUUUUGUAGUUUCUUUCAUAUCUCCCUAUAAAAAGAGAGCCUGAAAGGGUGGAUAGAAAGCUAUUCUUCUUGAAACAGGUUACCUUGAAACAAGUGAAAAAGAAAGUUGCAAUAAGGCGAAAAGCCUAAAGAUUCCACACUCUUCCUACAACCACUUGAGUCUUAUAACAAUGUUAAUUAGCUUUUGUUUUCUAAUGAAAUUACUUGUAUAAAUAGUGAACACUUUUAUGAAAGUGCUCUUUGUAAUGCUGUGUUAGUGCCUUU